rnacentral:rRNA from 1 species
UACGUAGGGUGCAAGCGUUGUCCGGAUUUAUUGGGCGUAAAGAGCGUGUAGGCGGCCAGGCAGGUCUGCUGUGAAAACUCGAGGCUCAACCUCGAGACGUCGGCGGAAACCAUCUGGCUAGAGUCCGGAAGAGGAGAGUGGAAUUCCUGGUGUAGCGGUGAAAUGCGCAGAUAUCAGGAAGAACACCCGUGGCGAAGGCGGCUCUCUGGGACGGUACUGACGCUGAGACGCGAAAGCGUGGGGAGCGAACAGG